GCUUAACUGGAGUCUCGCUGUCUUCUAUCCACCCUGCAUCAGCUUCUGUCCUCCAGGACCGUGUGGGAAGACCUCUCCUCCAGGAGAGCGUAUCAGGAACAAGCUCUUAAAAGAGCUGAGUGAUUAAAGCUCAGGGGAGUAUGCAGAGCAUAGCAAUCCCCAGUGUUAUAUAGCAGUUCUCUCCAAUCACGAGACAAGACUACGUGUUGAGGGUCAAGAAGAUC